CAUUUGGAUUUCCUGCCACCUUUCUCCUGAGCCCAUUGGCAGGAGGAGAGCCCUGUUUGUUCCUAGCCGUCCCUUGGGGCUGGCGGCCACCUGUCUUCUGGGGUCUUCCUCACCUCAUCAUAACUGCACUGAGUGCUUCCUGGGGCCCCUGGAGGUGGUCACUUCUUUCCUGUGGCCCUGGCUGGAUGGUAGACAGGAAUACCAUGAACAGAGGCGGGAGCCAGUUAGGAGAGACACGUUGGGUACCCUCCUGGUGUCUGAGAAUUCUGCAAAUGGGGAUAGGUGUAGUGGUCCCUGCUCCCCCCCUACCCCAACUCCUUCUCAUCAUCAUCAUUAGAAGGCAUCAUGAGAUCCAGUCUCGUCAGCACUUUGCUGAUGAAUUAAUCACAACUGGCUGGCGUGUUCUGGCCACUGUGGUCUUGGUCACCCUUGGCCUAAUGACAGUGUUUCCAGACAUAAGAAUAUAGAAGUUGCCAGAGCUCCAGGGGCUCAGAAACAACCAUGCUCUGUCCUAAUUACAUCUGAAUCUGUUCAUGGGGGGAACAGGAGCCACUCAUGUUUUUAAAUCCUUGGCCAUUAAACAUUUUAAAUAUAACUCGGCCUGGGUAAUAUUUAAAUCCUGACAUUUAGCUCACAAUCUUAGUGAGGAAGGCUAUUUCCUAAUGAGAUUGUUUCCAGCAAAAGGUUAAUCAAAUCCCUGGGAACUUCAGAUGGCUUUAGAAUCUUUACCUUUUUACCCUUAAGCCAGGCUCCAGGUGGAGGAACUUUCAUUGGUGUGUUGGGGAGGCAGGCACUGGAUCAGGGGUUACCGGAGGAGGAGUGGAGAGGGAAACGUACAUCAGUGGGGCCUGGUGCUAAUGAGAUCCAGGGAUGAAGCAUCCCAGGGAGACCGUGCUCUGUCUGUGCAUGGGUGUGAGCACAAAAGUUUAUGUGAAAGUGUGUGUGUGCGUGCAUGGAGCGUGAUCUUGUGAAAGGGAGUGUGGGAGUACAUAUGUGCAUGAGUGUAUGUGCACAUACAUGUGAGUGCAAGUGAGUGCAUGGAUGUGUGUGCGUGUAUAGGUGUCGGGUGUGUGCGCAUGUGCACGCAGCUGUGAAUGUUUGCUGUACAUGUGGGUGCAUGUGUGCCUUGUGUAUGUGUGCAUGUGCCUGUGUACACGCGUACAUGUGCGAGUGUUCACAGCACGGUGGCUGGUUCUGUGCCAUAAUCACGGGCCCUGGGUUGGCCAGAGCGCUGAGGCUGACUGAGGUGUGGUCAUGCUAUCGCAGGGCGCCCUCUGGAUGUGGCCAUCGCCCUGCCUGGGAGAGCCUCCUGUGCCGUUUGGCGAGGCAGGUGUGAUUCGGCACCCUGGCAGGGGCUGCGGGUGAGGGGCUCUCGGAAGGAUGCAGGCUUUAAACCACUACACUGGUCGCCACCAGCAGUGAGAGGGAGCGGGUGCUGGGCGGGGCAGGACACUUCAGCUCAAUUCUGUCCACCUCCUGGAAACUGAAUGUUGUGUAACAGUUGAAAGCAGUCAUGGCAAACCCUGUUCUGUGGCAAGAGGCUUGCGGGGCAGGCACAGUCCUCGUGAUGCUGUCUCAGUGCCUCUGAGUAAAAGCCACGUCUGUUAGUAAAUGUGGGGUGAGAUCUCUGUUGAUUACCAGCAUGUCAGCUCCCAGCCUUAUUGACGCAUUUGAUCAAAGAGCAUUUAUUUUGUAGGCACAGACAAGAUAAUUUUAAAAGAUGAACUUUCUUCUUUACAGGGGUGUGUUUCUGGGUUCUAGUGAGGGGACUAUUCUGGAUAGAAUUAGGGCGAGGACCCCGGGGACUUUGUCCAGUUUGCUAGUAGCGGGGCAGGUGUGGACGUUGUCUGGGUUGCCCGUUUUGCCCAUCUCUGAAUGGGGCCAUUGUCUAAGAUGGUUGUAGAGGGCAGGGGCCUCGCGGGCGAGCAGGCUUGUCCUUCUAAGGAAGUGCAUGGGUUGGGUAGCACUUUGCUGGGAUCUGCACCCCGUGUGUGCUGGACUACGUGCUCUGAGCCAAGCUCCCUGCUGGGUCCUGGGGGCCACACAGCAGCGACCAGGGGCCAGAAAGCUCUGUCCUCAUGGGGCUGGUACUGGGAGGGGGAAGGUAAGGAAAAGACAGAGGCCAACCUCGGGCUCUGAGGAGUGCUGUCAGAGACCUGGGGUCAGGGAGUCCUCGAGAGGUCUUGGCAUUUGGGCUGAGGCCGAAAGGUUCAGGAACUACUUUUGCAGGACUGGGGACGUGUACUUCAGGCAGAGGGAACCAGGAGGAGAUGGGCCUAAGAUCCAUGUGUUGUGGAAGCUGGAAGGGGCCUCCUGUGGGCCGAGUGUGAAGGGCUGAUGCGGGACUGGGGGCAGGAGCAGGGGUCAGAGGGGCGGGGACUUUUGGGGCUGCUUGGAGGGUGAGUUUUUCCCCGAGUGGAAUGGAACAGCAGUGGACACUGAAUCAGGAGAACACUAAUCUGGUUCAUGUUACUAAAAGGGCAGUGUAGGCCGGGCAUGGUGGCUCAUGCCUGUAAUCCCAGCACUUUGGGAGGCUGAGGUGGGUGGAUCACCAUGUCAGGAGUUCGAGACCAGCCUGGCCAACAUGGCAAAACCCCGUCUCUACUAAAAAUACAAAAAAUACAAAAAUUAGCCAGGUGUGGUGGCACAGGCCUGUAAUCCCAGCUACUUGGGAGGCUGAGGCAGGAGGAUCACUUGAACCCUGGAGGCAGAUGUUGCAGUGAGCUGAGAUCGCCCCACUGUACUCCAGGCUGAGUGACACAGAGAGACUCCAUCUCAAAAAAAAAAAAAAAAAAAAAAACAGUGUAGUGCCUGAGUGAAGAGAGCAUUGCUGGGGCAGGGGUAGGUGCAGAAGCUGAGAGACUGAGGUUAUUGGAGCCCACAGGCACAGUGGCGACCCUGGAGGGGCUGCCUGUGGGCUGAUCCACACUUGGCUCCGCACAGGGCUCCGGGCAGUCGCGGGCACCGGGUCCCAAUGGUUUAGGGACCUGACACUAUCUCAUGCUUUGGUGCAGCGACCCCUACAGUACUUGCUAGAAAUAAGACAUGGCAUGAGUGCCAGCAGGUGGGCUCCUGUGCUUCCAAGAGCUGAAUGGUGUUGCAUUUCCUAACCGUCUUAUGUGCACCCUGGAGAUAGAUGGGGGACUUUGCCGUUUCUUCAGACAAGCAGGGCUGUGACUCACAGGCCGGAGAGCACCACCUCUGAGUGCUGGCGGAGCCUCACCAAGAUCAGGGUUUGCAGAGUUUUGCCUGCACUUAGACGCGCUUUAGACCCACAGAGAGCCUUCGAGUUUUCUGGGGGUGGGCAUUGGGGGGAUUGCACAAAACCCGUGUGUUGUUUGGGCGUGGCUGUUGAUUGGAGAGCUUUGUACCUGUAGCUGGAGGGGGUCACUGCUGCUCAGGGCCCGGUGAUCACCAUUAGAGUCAUGAGGUCUCCAUCCUCUGCUAGUGAUACUUGCAAAGGAAGUGACACCUUAGUCCUUGGCUAUGAUGUUGAAGUAGUUAAUCAAACUCUGAGUUUAUGAAAGAAGCAUGGGGGAUGGUGGGAGGAGCUAGUCUCCCUCCCCCAAAACUCCAGCCAUCUCUAGGGUACAGUGGUGGCUUUGUUGGUGGCAGGGUGGGUCUGGGGAAGUAAGAGAACGAAGGUGUGGGAGGUGGAAGGACCAUGGUAACCCGCCUCCUUGCGUGGAGGGAGACCCACCCUGCCAUUGCUUUAGCCACGCCCAGCCCAGCCAGCCCUGAAUUCUGGGAUGUUCUGUGCCAUGCUGCCUCGCAGCUUCAGACAGCAAGUGCCAUGACAGUCUUCCCUGGGAUGAGUCUCUCCACCGAAUGUGCAGGACUGAGGUUCUACUGCCCAGAGUGACCCAGAAGAGUCUGAAUCUCACAGCCUCCUCUAGGCCCCAAAGAGAACAAUGUUCUUUAGUUGGGCCGACUGAGUUUACAUGUGAAGGGCCGCCUGGCUGGAGGAAAAGCUGAGGAAGGAAAUAGCAUAUUAGACGGGGCUGCCCUUGAAAGCUCAGUGAUGUGUAUUCAGCAGCGUGUGUCGUUCUGUGAGCACAAAUGCAUAGAAUGGUGGAUUCUGAAUGUUCAAGAAGAGCUGGACUUUUCUAAGUUUCAUAAAAAUGUGAACUUGUUUAAGAAAAGGGAAUGGGUGGAGAGUUUCAAGUAUGGCACAUGUUUUAACAAAUAAAGAAUUCUCCCAGCACUUUGGGAGGCCAAAGCAGGAGGAGCACUUGAGCCCAGGAGUUCAAGACCAGCCUGGCAACAUAGCAAGACCCUGUCUCUCAGCUGGGCGUGGUGGCAUACACCGGUAGCUCUAGCUGCUUGGGAGGCUGAGGUGGGAAAAUCACUUGGGCCCAGGAGUUGGAGACUGCAGUGAGCUGUGAUUGCACCACUGCAUUCCAGCUUGGGGCAACAGAAGGAGACCCUGCCUAAAAAAAAAAUAAUAAUAAUAAUAAUUCUGUAGCCCUCUCUUCAUUGGUGAAUGAAUGUGUGAGGAUAGAAUUUGAGGGGACUUGAUUUUAUGGCCUCCUUUGGUCCCCCAAGAUACAAUACUCUGCAGUUGGGAAGAUAAUGGGUUCGGGUGAGCGACUGUUUUAUGUGAAGCCUCGUGGUAAAGGAAGCUGGCCCUGCGUGCUGGAAUCGGUGUAAAGAGCAGUCAGUCAGGUGCGCCUGUGAGCAAGGCAGGUGCCAUGACUCAGACUCGAGUAAAUACGAAGUAUGAGUUCAACCCAGAAAACUGCUCUCUCUUGGGUUUUGCAAACUUGUCAGAAAUAAAUCACUAACUUUAGAAAGCUUUGGUGCAAGAGCCUUGAAGAGUUUCUGGUGUUUUCUUUCCCGCCUGCACCCUAGCAUCACUAUCCUGGUAACCGGGGCCAAGUGGCUGUCGGUGCUGGAAGAGAAGGCCAUGAAGCCGGUGGAAACCCACAGUCUCCAGAUGCUCCACACGAUCCUGUCCACUGGCUCCCCACUGAAAGCCCAGAGCUACGAGUAUGUCUACAGGUGCAUCAAGAGCAGUAUCCUCCUAGGCUCCAUCUCAGGAGGCACCGACAUCAUCUCCUGCUUCAUGGGCCACAAUUUUUCUCUUCCUGUGUAUAAAGGGGAGAUUCAGGCCCGGAACCUGGGCAUGGCCGUGGAAGCGUGGAACGAGGAAGGAAAGGCGGUCUGGGGAGAGAGCGGCGAGCUGGUGUGUACUAAGCCGAUCCCUUGCCAGCCCACACACUUCUGGAACGAUGAGAACGGCAACAAGUACAGGAAGGCGUAUUUCUCCAAAUUCCCAGGUAUCUGGGCUCAUGGCGACUACUGCAGAAUCAACCCCAAGACCGGAGGCAUCGUCAUGCUUGGCCGGAGUGAUGGCACACUCAACCCCAACGGGGUGCGGUUCGGCAGCUCGGAAAUCUAUAACAUUGUAUACGCUCAAUGGCAAGAAAGUGGAAGUUGCCGUCAAACAGAUCAUCGCUGGAAAAGCCGUGGAGCAAGGAGGUGCUUUCUCGAACCCCGAGACCCUGGAUCUGUACCGGGACAUCCCUGAGCUGCAGGGCUUCUGAGUCAGACUGGCUGGCGUGUCACUUAGCCUCACCUGUGUGCACUGUAACUUUUGUGUGCUCAAGAAAUUAUAUAGAAACCUACAGCUGUUGUAAAAGGAUGCUCACACCAAGUGUUCUGCAGGCUUGGGGAGGGAUCGUUUCUCUGUUUUGUUAAAUCUGGUGGGUACCUGGAUCUUCCACACACUGGAGCGGGAUUCUGGCCUUCAGAGACCAGGAGGGAGUGUCUGGGCCGCACAUGUGGCACUGUGGUGAGAGUGUGUGUCUUUGCACACACAGUGCAGCGGGAACGGUGGGGCUGGCUGGUGCUGAAGACAGACACACUCCUGAGCCAAGGUCUUGUCUUCAACCUCCCCCUCCUGUUGUCCCAUUUUGCUCUGUGAAGGUGCAAAUCCCUUUCUUCCCUUCCCAUCUCAGGCUCUCCUGUUUUCCCUCAGGGUCCAGUAUGCCUUUGAGCUUUAGCUGUUACAAAGGAACCCCCAUGAUUUGACACAGCUUUUCACAGCUGGCUGCUAGGACCGGCGGGCUGGGUGCUCACGUGUGUCUGUGUCAUGGAUGGAAUGCAGGCCCUAGAGGACCGUGCGUCACCCGUCAACCAGAGCGCGCCUCCGGGCCAGCUUCCCUCCAAGGAACGAGGGGAUUUCAUACAGGAUCUCUUUAUUGCACAGACUUUGAAUGGCUUUACAUGUUUCUAAUGUGAAUUAGGCGUGUGAAGCACUGGGUGUCCACCCAUGUCCCUCAUGGGUGAGCCCUCCAGCUGUGAGCCCAGGUUAGCGCGGUCACCGAGGGUCCUCACCAGGAACCGCAUCCAUGUGCUGCCUCCACCUGAGAGUUGCUAGGGGGUUCCUGUCGAGAUCAUGUCAUCAGCACCCCUAAGUCAAGUCACGGGUUUGCAUAGCCAGGCAGUUGGUAUGUACCAUUCAGUUCAGCAUAUGAACUUGUAUCUGUAAUCUGAUGUUCAUUUUUAUAUUUUUUGAAACUGAGCACAAUGAAAUCCUUUCUUGAAUCAUUUUCCUUUUGGAUUAUAAAAAUAUGGGGGAAAGUGCUAUGAUGAAUUUCAUGCAAUAAAUUUAUACGUGUGUGCACAUGCACCCAUGCUGUGUGUGCA
rnacentral:sRNA from 1 species